GCCCCAGUAGCUCAGAGGACAGAGCAGAGGUUUCCUAAACCUUUGGUCGGGGGUUCGACUCCCUCCUGGGGCA
rnacentral:tRNA from 1 species